AUCGCAAGGCAUAUGAUAUGGUACCUCAUUCUUGGAUAGUGGAAUGUAUGAGUAUGUUCAAAAUCGCAGCAAAUGUGAGAACGUUUGUGGAAAGUAGUAUGGAGAACUGGAAAACGGAGUUAACAUCUUCGGGAGAAAGUCUUGGAAAUGUGAAUUUAAGACGAGGUAUUUUUCAAGGAGAUAGUUUAUCUCCAUUGAUAUUUGUGAUGUGCAUGAUACCAUUAAGCUUGAUACUGAGAAAGGAAAAGGUAGGGUAUGAAUUUCGCGGAAAAAGAACUCAAAAUCAACCAUCUAUUCAUGGAUGAUCUGAAGUUGUUUGGAAAGAACAAGGAGCAAAUAGACUCACUGGUGAAAACUAUCCAUAUUGUUAGCAAAGACAUUGGAAUGGAAUUUGGGAUAAAGAAAUGUGGAAUGCUUGUAAUGAAAAGAGGAAAGAUUGUGGAAUGUAAUGGAAUACAGCUACUUGAUGAGGAAACAAUAAAGUCCGUAGAAGAAGAUGGAUAUAAAUGUCUUGGUAUACUGGAAUUAGAUAAAAUUAUGGAGGGUGAAAUGAAGAGAAAGUUUGUAAAGGAAUACGGGAGGAGAUUAAGACUGGUGCUGAAAUCAAAACUGAAUGGCAGAAACAAAAUCAUGGCGAUGAAUACUUGGGCUGUUGCGCUACUGAGGUAUGGAGCUGCUGUUUUGAAAUGGACAAAAGAUGAAAUUGCUGCAAUGGAUCACAAAACACGUAAACUGAUGACACUGUAUGGUGCUCUUCAUCCAAGAAGCGACAUUCAUCGAUUAUAUUUACCGAGAGAAAAGGGCGGAAGAGGUUUGAUCAGUUAUGAAGGAUGCAUUCGUACAGAGGAGAACAGUUUGGGAUGGUAUGUAAAGAACAGUGUGGAACCACUUUUACAACAAGUUGCAAAGACAGGUGUGAUUGAAACGGAAAGAUGCGAAACAAAAGAAAAUUUUAAGAAGAAAGCAGUAGAGGAGCUAGAGAAAGCUUGGAUUGACAAGAAAAUGUAUGGACAAUAUAACAGAGAUUUAGGUAAAGAAGUGGAUAGGGAGAAGACAUGGUGGUGGCUGAAGAAAGGAGACUUGAAACCUGAGACUGAAGAACUUCUUUGUGCUGCACAAGAACAAGCUCUAAGGACAAAUUAUGUAAAGUUUCACAUAGAUAGAACUGUCGAAUCUCCACUCUGUAGACUUUGUGGGGGAAAAGGGAGAGCAUAUAACACACUUGAUAAGUGAAUGCAAAAAGCUAGCACAAAAAGAAUACAAACGAAGACAUGACAAUGUGGCUCGCAUUGUACACUGGAAGCUAUGUGGUUUGUACCAACUAGAGAAAGCUGAAAAAUGGUAUAAACACCAACCAAAUUGAGUAAUUGAAUCAGAUAAUGUAAAGAUUCUCUGGGAUUUUAACAUACAGUGCGAUCAUGUGAUUGAAUGUCGAAGACCUGAUAUUGUAGUGGUUUUAAAGAAGGAAAAGGAAUGCAAGAUCAUAGACAUCGCAGUUCCAGGGGACUGUAGAAUUGGUAUAAAAGAAACAGAGAAGGUAAAAAAGUAUGAGGAGUUGAAAAGGGAAAUUUGGAAAAUAUGGGCAAUGAAAAAAGUAGAAGUCAUUCCAAUAGUAGUAGGUGCCUUAGGAGCAGUUAGUAAUAAACUGGAUAAGUGGAUUGAGAAAUUGGGAAUACAUAUAAGAAUAGAACUUCUACAAAAACAGCAUUGUUAGGUACGGCAAGAAUACUGAGAAGAAGCUUGGAAAGCUACAAUCUUUGGGACCUGAGGCUACUGGUUGUAGCCAGCUUCCAAGGAAAAAACAUAGCCAGCAUAAGAACAAAGCUGUG